GCCUCCGACCAUAUCACCCUGAAUGCGCCCGAUCUCGUCUGAUCUCAGAAGCUAAGCAUGGUCGAGCAUGGUUAGUACUUGGAUGGGAGACUGCCUGGGAAUACCAGGUGUUGUAGGCU
rnacentral:rRNA from 1 species